UACGAAGGGGGCGAGCGUUGUUCGGAAUUACUGGGCGUAAAGGGCGCGCAGGCGCUCAUCAAGUCAGAUGUGAAAAGCCCCGGGCUCAACCUGGGAACUGCAUUUGGGACUGAUGAGCUAGAGUUCGGGAGAGGUGGGUGGAAUUCCCAGUGUAGAGGUGAAAUUCGUAGAUAUUGGGGAAGAACACCGGUGGCGAAGGCGGUGAGCUGGGCAGUU
rnacentral:rRNA from 1 species